rnacentral:rRNA from 1 species
AUAGAGACUCAGAGCUGCAUAUCAAUAAGCGGAGGAAAAGAAACUAACAAGGAUUCCCUUAGUAACGGCGAGUGAAGCGGGAAGAGCUCAAAUUUGAAAUCUUCAAGGGUUCUACCUUUACGAAUUGUAGUUUAAUAGAAGUGUUUUCUGUUAGUAGAGUUCGGCUAAAAGUUCUUUGGAAUAGGACAUCAUAGAGGGUGAGAAUCCCGUAUUUGUACAGUUACUUUCUAGCUGUGUGAUACACUUUCAACGAGUCGGAUUGUUUGGGAAUGCAGUCCAAAAUGGGUGGUAAAUUUCAUCUAAAGCUAAAUAUUGGCGAGAGACCGAUAGCGAACAAGUACCGUGAGGGAAAGAUGAAAAGAACUUUGAAAAGAGAGUUAAACAGUACGUGAAAUUGUCAAAAGGGAAGCGUUUGACACCAGUGUUGUUUUCUCGAAAAUCAAUUAAAAAUGACCGGAUUUUGUGUUGUAUUGACUUUAUCAGCUUUCUGCACUUUUUUCUUGUCUUUUUUAAUGCACUUUUCGUUUAACAAGUCAACAUCAAUUUCUUUUGUUGUAAAAGAGGUCAUUGGAAGGUGGCUUUCUUUUCGGAGAAAGUGUUUAUAGCCUUUGACUUCUGCAAUCGGAGAGAUUGAGGUCUGCAGCGUAGAUCCUUCGGGGUUAGAUGCAUUUGUGCUAAGCUAUAGCCUUUCAUAGACAACUUGUUGACUAUGAUCAGUCAUGUAGCUUACUCGCUUAUGUCAUUUUACCUACGCUUAGGAUGUUGAUAGUCACAGCGUGUAC